rnacentral:rRNA from 1 species
GAUGAACGCUAGCGGGAGGCCUAACACAUGCAAGCCGAGCGGUAUUUGUUCUUCGGAACAGAGAGAGCGGCGCACGGGUGCGGAACACGUGUGCAACCUGCCUUUAUCUGGGGGAUAGCCUUUCAAAAGGAAGAUUAAUACCCCAUAAUAUAUUGAGUGGCAUCAUUUGAUAUUGAAAACUCCGGUGGAUAGAGAUGGGCACGCGCAAGAUUAGAUAGUUGGUGAGGUAACGGCUCACCAAGUCAAUGAUCUUUAGGGGGCCUGAGAGGGUGAUCCCCCACACUGGUACUGAGACACGGACCAGACUCCUACGGGAGGCAGCAGUGAGGAAUAUUGGACAAUGGGUUAGCGCCUGAUCCAGCCAUCCCGCGUGAAGGACGACGGCCCUAUGGGUUGUAAACUUCUUUUGUAUAGGGAUAAACCUACUCUCGUGAGAGUAGCUGAAGGUACUAUACGAAUAAGCACCGGCUAACUCCGUG